GUCAUGGUCACGUGCACAGACACCCGCGUCCCAGUGGGGAUGUCAGCUGUGUUGCUAUUUUCUCCAUCUUUCCCCUCAGCGCGCACGCGCGCUCCCCCUCACGUGUCUGCUGCGCUGCGUCGGGACUGCGCCUGGCGCACCGAGUCCGAAUCCGAGCAGCGGGCCGAGCUGAGCCGGGUCGGGACCGGACAUGUCCCUGCAGCUCCCUCCGUGCGUGAUAGACUGCGGGACAGGAAUCAUCUGGAGGAGCAUCUCAUGACGAUCAGCUUAGAGGAGCAGACCAGACCAGAACCCCAUCUAGUUCCAGAAACUGCGCUGAGAGAAAAGUGUAAGGAGGCCAUUCAGCGCAUGAGGACAUAAUCAAGAGGUAGAUGAAGCUGACAUUUGACUUCCGCUGCAAAAUGCUCCUUGACCUGUCGACCAGUGUUCUGACAGCCUUUCACUUCUUAAAGACAUCAAAGGAUUGAUGUUCGGGGAGGAGGGCUCUGGCACGUUUCUGGAAAAAUGGAGAACUUCAUUCCUGUGGAAGAUCAUCUAACAAUGCAGAAAGCUGCAAUCCAGCAGUGAGUUGGAAGAUCUUCUCUUGGCAGCUGAUAUCCCUGACAGUGGAGCUGAAGUGAUGACAUCAUUGGAAAGAGUUUCACAAUGGGAAUCGACAUUCAAGAACAUCUUGAUUUCAGCACAAAACGCACUCAACUCCAUCUCAUGACUGCAGGGUGAAGAAUGAAAGAAAUCCACUUGUUCUUUAUCACCAAUACCAUCGUCUGCAGGUCGGAUUCGAUGGGGACAUCCCUAGUAUUAAUACUCAAGUUGAAUGAUUUCAGCCUGGUUUGUAUUUUAUCCAAGACACCAGAUGGAGUUGAACUGGACUUGUUGAAUUGAAUAUCAAUAAGUAUUUAAUGUUUUUUUUUUUUACAUUUUUCAAAAUAAAAUGUAGCUUUCAGAGUUAAUUGUGAACAAUAUAACUUAGUGUUAUUUUUAUACAACACUGUGGGAGUUCAUUUCUGUUAAACUGUAAAAACUAUUGAACACUUCUUAAUGUUAAAGUGGUACAGAUAGUGUCAAUUAUCAACACCUAAAAGAGUUAAGUUAACUCUGAAAAUUCAACACUAUGUUCAGAGUCCCUUUAACUCUUUUCAGGUCGGGAUCAUACGUUCACUGGCUCUGAGUUAAAAUUAACUCUUUAGGAGUUCUAGCAACACUUCCUUUUUUACUGUUUAGGGAGAGAUCAACAGACAUGGGUCUCUUUAUUUUGUAGAUGGAAUUGUUCAUUUUGUUCUUUCUUUGAACACACAUGACUCAACCAGGAAGGCCGCCUGUCCGUCUGUCUUGAUGCUUGAUACAACACAUGUGCAUUUAGUGCUGCCAUAUCAUUAAUGUUAUAGAACACAGUGACUGGCCAACGCUGAUUUGAAAGCCGGCUGCAUGCAAUAGGGCAUUUCCAUAAGUGUACAAAUUUACAUCCAUUGUUUACAACUGUGCAAGACCCUACAUGAUAAUGGGAGAAAUGUUCAGUCAAAUCAUCUGCUUGCUAGGCUACAUCAGGGGUCCCCCUAAACUAGGGCCCACAGACCAGAUCCGGUGUAGGUACCACAUGUGCUCGGCCUGCAAGAUCGGCUCGGGGGCUUGCGACUAGUGAUGAUGUCACACUACUGCAACUUAGACAACAGCUUAGCUAUUUUGCAUCGUUUUUCUGUGCUGAAACUAAUGUUUAUAAUAAUGUUUAUUGAAAAAAAAAGAAAGAAAAAAGUGUUGAGACCUGGUCGGGCCAUUAUUUAUUAUUUUGGCAUUGACAGCUCCUUCACUAACGUCUGCUCUCCUCAGUGUAGCAGAAACUGAGCUGCAUAUUCCAGUGGGAUUUCCUCCACUCUGUGCAACCAAAAAGAAGUUCAACACUGCCAGGAUGUAUUUUGAAAAAAAUACGAGCAAAUAACCACUUCCCUUUUUGUAUUUAUUUUUUUAAUGUGUGACCAACAACAGGCUAGCAUGCUACUCUCGAGGACCCACUUUAGCACAAACAUCACGUUUGCAGCCUGAUUUCUUUGUAUUAAAUUAACAAUCUUAUCCUGUGACGAUUCGCCUUAACAUGAAGGUGGCUGGCGUUAGAGUAGAGGAUGCUAAAAACAGUCUUAGAUGGAGGAAACUGAUUCGCUGUGAUUCGACCCCUGAAGGGAAAAGCCCAAAGGGAAAAAAACAACCUGUGAUGAUUCGCCUCGAUUGAAUUGUUUUGUUGUCAAGGUUUGAUUGCAAAUACUGCGCCACCUUCUGCGAUUCUUUGCAUACUUGUUUGGACCUCCUCGGCUCUUUACUCGGGAAGAGUCCGCGCAUUGUUAUGGAGGAAGUGUGUCAUUCCCCGUGUCAAGUGAUGGUGGUGUAAUGGUCCGGACCAAUCGCAAUUUUACAUGUCAUCAAUCCGCAACCCCCUGAGCUGAUCUUGCAGGCCGAGUUUAUGUGGUACCUACACAGACCGGCCUCCAAACACUUUCAGAGACGCAUAUUUAUUUAUUUAUUUUUCUCAGUCCGGUUGAUCAAGACCCACAGAGUGGGUGUGACGGUGUAGCACUGUCAGCUGAUAGCUGCACCCGGACACGCACGCACACAC